UACAGAGGUCUCAAGCGUUGUUCGGAUUCAUUGGGCGUAAAGGGUGCGUAGGUGGCGCCAUAAGUCAGGUGUGAAAUCUCGGGGCUCAACCCCGAAACUGGCAUUUGAUACUGUGGUGCUCGAGUACUGGAGAGGAGAUUGGAAUUUACGGUGUAGCAGUGAAAUGCGUAGAUAUCGUAAGGAAGAACCAGUGGCGAAGGCGAAUCUCUGGACAGUUACUGACACUGAGGCACGAAGGCCAGGGGAGCAAACGGG
rnacentral:rRNA from 1 species